UACAGAGGUCUCAAGCGUUGUUCGGAUUCAUUGGGCGUAAAGGGUGCGUAGGUGGCGAGGUAAGUUGGAUGUGAAAUCCCGGGGCUCAACCCCGGAACUGCAUUCAAUACUGCCUUGCUGGAGUACUGGAGAGGAGAUUGGAAUUUACGGUGUAGCAGUGAAAUGCGUAGAUAUCGUAAGGAAGACCAGUGGCGAAGGCGGAUCUCUGGACAGUUACUGACACUGAGGCACGAAGGCCAGGGGAGCAAACAGG
rnacentral:rRNA from 1 species